rnacentral:siRNA from 1 species
GAUCAGUGAAAGUGGUAAGUUGC